UUAAACCAUAUUAAUAUUCUGAAAACCAAAACAAACACCCACUACACUUGACACAUUUUUUUUUUGUACCAUAAUGAAAGCCUAUGUGUUUGGGCCCACAGUUUCAGCCAGGAUUUUGACCUGGGGCCUCCUAACUGAUCCUGAGGCUUUAAGACCACACAGCAUGGGUCUGCGAAUUGCAAAUGGGAGGCUUACUUUUCCCAUUCUUAUCCAAGCCUCCAGAAGUGGCUCUGGAGCUAGAUCCAGCCUCCUUUCUUACGAAGCCUUGGAUACAUCCCACUUAGCUUGACAAACUUUUACCGGAAUUCUCUGAUCCCAUUUCACAGCUGUUGCAAAGGUAGGGUCUUGGUUGUGUCUUCCUUCAAGCUGCUUAUGAACCAGGGGUGGAGACUAGGAAGUAAGGAACCCUGGAAUCAGAGAAGUCAGGAGCAAGCAUCUUGUUGGCUUGAGGUUCUCCAGGCACCAUAAAUCAAGUAGUGCGCAUACUAAGAAAACAAGCUGGACAACAAGAGGAGAGCAGGAGGGUCCUUAGGAUUGGCUGCUUGUACCAUGGCCCCCAGUGGCUCAGUAGAGACAAGGGGAAUCCCAGGUGGUUCACAUACAACUAUUAGCAAUUGACAUUCAUAGCUCUUGUACUUCACAGUAUUUUCAUGCCUGGGACUCUGUUUUGAUCCCUGCAAGUACAGUGUUAUGAUACUCCUUUUAUGGAUGAUGAAUUGGAGACACCAAGAGGUUCAGAGCUUCUUCCAAAGUCAUAGAGCCAGUGAGUUGUGAAGACGAGGGGCUCAGUCUUCCGAUUCAUGCAAAGGGUUGAUGUGACAUUUUCAGAGCCUAGUUCUAGCUUCAUUGUGCUGGAAAGUGGUCUUGGCCUGAGGACAGCAGGGUGCUUCAGAGUCCAGUCUGAUGCCCUUUGGCAGCCACACACCCUCCUGUGAAGGCACCACAAAUUCCUUGGGAGGGAGACGCGUUCCAGAUGUGUAUGCCGCCUCUAGAGAAAACGUGGCUUCUUCUGGUGAGCCACAUGCAAGGUGUCUCGCUGGCCACUGUGAAGUGGGGAGAGACGCCUGGAGCAAGCCAUGAUCUCUGCCAGCACUGGAAUCACCAACAUCCUUGAGCUUCCUUCAGUCUGAUGCAGAACCUGAGGACGUGGCCAUCUCUUGGUGGUGUUCUGGGAAAGCAGGAAGUCUUCAGACCUGAUUGUCUUCAGAUUUCAGCCAUGGGCUCCCUGGUGAGCCAUCUCAGGGGUAUAGGAAACAUGGAUGCCGCCCCGGAGGCAGCUCUCAGCGCAAUCUGGGAUCUCAGGGGCUGACAGCAGAGAAGUUACCUGAAGGCGCAACAAGCAGUGGUCCCUGUAGGCAGAAGCUACCUGGUGCCCCAGUGAUGUGGGAGGCCCUCAGUUCCUGCGCUUCUUGCUGCCUGGGCACAUGUUCCCGGAGGAUGGCAGGACCUCCUGGCCUCUCCCCUGUCUACCCGCCAGAGCUCUGCUUCUUAAGAUAAGACCACCUCUUUCCUCCAGCCAAUGUGCUGCUCUUCUGACUUCAAAACACUUGCACUUCCAGGGCUCAACGUACAGUGAGUUCUCAAGGAUUCGGUGAAUAAAUGUACAAAUGUCUCCCGUUACAGCUGCCACAUUCAGUGGGGUAGGUCUUAUGAUCAUUUCUCUGAGGAAGGGUGCUGUGCUCAUGGUCUCAGUCUGCAAAUUGCAGACUGAGAAUCCAACGAAGGCACCUGCUCUCUGCCCCCGCACCCCCCCACCGGCCCCAAGGCUGACCCUCUCCUCCCCUGGUAUCAGCUCGAAGCAUUGUUGGAGUCCCCAGGGACCCGGAUGCUUCCCUGUGUGCCCUGUCUUUGAGGUGCCCGCCAUCUCAAGUCAAGACACACAGCAGGGUGUGAGAGGCCAGGGAGCCCAUGGGAAUUCCAGGGGAUGCUCUCAGCGUGUUUUGUGAGGAACGACUGGCUCACCUAGUCAGGCCUGGGACAAAAUAUCACCUGCUGAAGGAUGAUUGGCUGUGGCGCUGGCCUUGUGCUGGAAGAGGGCCUCUGAGAGCACAGGGAACUGCCCCUGGGCAUUUUCUCACAAUUGUUCCGAGGGUUAGAGGCUGGAUCCCAGGAACCGCGUGUGGCCACUCUGUCCUUCUUCAGAGAGAGAUUCAACUUCCGGAGCCAGGGUCACCCCUAAUGGCUCACUUCCCUUCCUUCCCCUGCCAGGAUUUUCCCCCAGAUUAUCUUGGGGUUGUCUCAGCCCUUACCAUACCUCAUCCUUCCCAGCAGCAGCCCGCCAGCCCCACGCGGAGUGUUCUACUCUUUCCAAAGACAGCCCACAUUUCGGGGUCUCCUGCACCCCCAAAUGUGGGAUUGGUAAGAUGCACGCUUCCUGACUUGGGUUUCUUCUUUCAUUUGCAGUUAAAAACCAUGACCACAAAAGAGACAUCCACAACUCGCUGUAAUAGGCGCUUGCAUAAUAGACGUGGGGACAGUGUUUGGGGGAACAGGAUAGGGUGGCUCUGUUUUUCCAACAGUUGUGAGAUUCAUUUUGGUGAAGUAAGAAGGUUUUACAGGGUCCUCUAAGACAGAAGGGGUUUCCUGGGAAGGAAGCUGGCUUAUCAACCUGCCUCCUCUCGCUCACCUGGUGCUAGCUGCUUACUUUCCACCCUUUGCCCUCUGCUGAAGGGAGAGUUUGAACAUCUUUAGAUUCUUUUCUUUGCUUGGCAAGAUGUGCUGUAUUUAUUCAACUUAGCCUCAAGGUUAAGCACACAGACCCUUGUCAGAAGCCAGACAGCGAGUGUUCAAAUCCCAGCUGUGUCACUUACCAGCUCUGUCACACCUUGGGGAUGUGACUUCACUUGCCUUGAUUUCCUCAUCAGUGAAAUGGGGAUAAUAAUAGUACUUGCCCCAUAAACAGGGAUAAUAGUACUUACCUUAUAUAAUAAGGAUUACAUGUAAACAUUUAAUAUACAUAAAGCUCUUGUUUGUUUGUUUUUAGAGACAGGGUCUCAGUCUGUCAUCCAGGCUGGAGUGCAGUGGCAAGAUGCUAGCUCACUGCAGCCUUGACCUCCUGGGCUCAAGGAAUCUUCCUAUUUCAGCUUCCUGAGUAGCUAGGAGUACAGGUGCAUGCCACCAUACCUGGCUAUUUUUAAAACAUGCUUUUAUAUAGAUGGGGUCUUGCUCUGUUUCCCAGGCUAGUUUUGAACUUCUGGCCUCAAGCACUCCUCCCACCUCAGCCUCCAAAGUAUGGGGAUUAUAGGCAUGAGCCACUGUGCCCAGCCAAACAGCUCUUAAAAUAUACAAAAGCUCUUAAAAUAGUGCCUAGCACAGUGUUUACUAUUGUCACUAUCUACUUGGAUUCUCUGCCUGUUGGUCUCCACUUUGCACAAUUAUUUGUGGACAUUUGAGAUCGUCGAGUUCUCGAGAACCAGUCAGGCUGAUUUACCUCCAAUGUACGUGUAAUAUGUUUUUUUCCUUUUCUGGAACUGAGCAACAUCCUCCAAGUUUGUCCACUCUCCGAGUGUCUUAACUGCCCCCGGUAGAGAGGCAUUUAGCAAACAGAAACAGAUUACAGAGACCCUCGUGGCCACAUGCAAUUUGCAGUUGCUCUCAAGAGUGGGUGUGGUCACUUGUUGUUCCCUUUAGCCAUCAUAUCAGCUGCCUGGGUGAGGGGUCAGUGUGCCAAACGUUCCUGGUGGGAAAUGACUUGGUUUCCCAUAUGAGCCCCGACCUUCACUGGCCUCUCCCUCUUAGAACUCCCAUUAACCACCAUGUGUGCUGGUCACUGCAGCUGAAUCCAUCCACAGGGGCUGCCCAGAAAAAGACAAUGACUUCUGCAGGGCUGGGGAGGCUGUCCUCGUGAAAAUAACUGAAUCUACCCGAGUGUGUGGCCUGUGCUGGGGAAACGUGGGUGACUUGAAUGAUGUCAGGCAAUCAGUGCAAUUGAAAUAUGUCAAAAAUGGCUCCAUCAACGCACCCGGCUCAUAUUUAGCUAUAAAAUGUGAGGCCAGGUUACGAACCGGAAGCAUUUCUUUCAACCAAAGUCAUUUGGAAAGGAAUAUCUUUGACACAUCCUUGCUGCCCCUUCCCCCAUUGCGGUGUCCCUGGCUGUGUGGCUGGCAGCCUGGCUCUUGGUGAGUCGCAGCUGCACCUGUGCCCACCUUCUCACCACGGGAGUAGGUGCUUCUCCUUUGGGCACCUUCUGGCUUUGCACCGUAAAAGUGAAAUACGGUGUGGUCCUGCAAGCUGCUUCUCCAGUGAUGUGAAAAGCGUAAGAGAGAGGCUCUGGGAAGGGGCAGAUGCUGCAGGUGCAAUGAUGCCAGCUGUUGAGGACGGUGCCCUGUGCCUGGGGAAGUACAUGCUGUAACUGGAGCUCCACCUUGGUACCCCACCGCUGGACCCUCCAAAGAGAGCUCUGACAUGUAUGAAGUUUCAUAUACUCAAUUCCUUUACCGCUGGACUUGUGAGAAUUGUAUGAGGAAGGCCACUUUGAGGAUCAUAUUCAUGCUGGCAAUAAUGACAUGAAAAGCAACAGUAAUAGUAGCAACUAUCGUCAAGGUCCCAUAGGUACCAGUUUUCAUGCUUAACAGCACAACCAUCUCAUCCCUGGAACCAAGCAUCCCUGGAACCAAGCAAGAUCAGUGCUGUUGAUCUUCAUUUUGCAAUUGAGGUAACGGAGGCUCAGUUAACUUAAGUAACUUGUCAGGGGUACAAAGUAAGUAUAAGUGGCUGAGCUGUGAUUCAGAUCCAGGCCCAUCUGAUGCGAUAGCUCAUUCUUUUCUCCAUGACAUCAGGAGGCCUCCUCCUCCCUUGUGUUGCUCAGAGUUCUGAUAAGAAUCAGAUUUCUAGGUGAAUCACAAGAAGGUGACUAUUCUGGUUAGAUAACGGGAGAAUGGGCCCCAUCAUGGCAACAGACUCCUAAGACUCAUACAUCACAAGAAAGGGCUCCCUACAGCUUUGACACUAGGGUGCUUCUCUGUGCACCUCCUUGCUCCCCUCCCAUGAGAAGGACUGUCUUUCAUCCUCAUAGCUAUUAUUUUUGAAACAUCAGUUUUAAUUUGGGGCACCCGCUCUCUUCGGGAGAUUGCAAAAAUUAAAUCGUUUUUAAGCAACCCAACAACACUUCUGGGGUUUGUAAUAAACUUGUGAAAUUUGCGGAACUUGGUGGUUGAGGUUCUCUCCGUCCUACUUCCCUGGGGCCCCGAGGAGCUUUCGAGUUGGUUCUUCAUGCCCUCUUGUUUGGAGCUGCUUUUGUCAACUGGGCCCAGCUACUGCGUCUUGGACCAAGGAGGCGAUGAGCCCUGAAACAGUCCAGGGUCUCUAGGAGAGCAACUCCCAAACCAUGUUUCUGGCCCUGCCUUCCCUCUGUUAUUCUGGGGAAAAAACUGACCCUACGUGGGUGGGAGGUCCCAUCUACAGAGACCAGCCUUGUUUGUUUCCAUAGGAUUUGACUACUGAGGGGCACGAAAAUACAUAGCCAACUUCCCCUUGCAGAGUUCACUGUCUCCCCUUCCAGCAGAUGACUCCAGGAUCCUUGGAAGCAUAGGAACACACCCCAGUUGAUGACACUGUUUCCUCUCCUCUGCAGAAGAAGAUCCUCUCCACUCACAGGAAACAGCAGCAAGAUGGUUUCCAGGCACCAGCUGUCACUGGGCUUGUACUGUUACAGUCCAAGCUGAGCACGCAAGGCAGGGUGUGUUUCUGGCUCCCCAUAGCUGAAAGCUCAACUUCAUGUGGUCAGGUCUUGGAUGGCGUCAAGGCCUGUAGGGUGAACAGAACUCUCUGAGUCACCUUUCCCUGCUGUUCAGGGCCUUGAUAUAACAGACAGGGCCAUUGGCUCCACAGGGGCAUGGUGGGGAAGAAGGGUCCAGGAAGGCACUUUGCCUUUGUGUCUUGUCCUUGGUAUUUGGAGGGCAACACCCCUGUAUUUUUCUAAUCCUAUUAGCUAAGAAUCUGGAACCUGGGCCAGAGGCCUGGGUUCUAACACUAUCUCCACCGUUUCCCAACCAUGGAUACACCCUAUACUUUCCCUCGUCUGUACAGUGGAGCUAAUAAUAGUACCUAACUCAUGGAACUAUCAUGAGUCUUAAAUGAGUGUUAACACGCAUGAAGUGAAGUGCUUAUAUCUGGCAGAUAGUAAAUGUGUAUUAUCAAUUUAAUUUACACUAUUAUUUGACUGUAUUUCUACUAUACAGAGCAACUAUUGCCUGGUCAUAUGUCCUAACAAAUAAACUGUGGAGACAGACAAGUAACUGUCUCAGUGCUAAGGACACCACUGACCCUCAACAGAAUAAUGCCCCCUAAAGAUGUGUAGACCCUAAUCCCCGGAAUCUGGGAAUGUGUUAGGUUACACGGCAAAGGCAAAGGAAGGUUGCAGGAGGAGCUGAGGCUGCAAAUCAGCUGACCUUACAGUGGGAAGAGAAGCCUGAGUUCUCCAGGUGAGACCAAUGUCCAGCAUCCUGGCUGAGCCUGCUCCCUUUACAAACAAGGUUAGGAUUUAUAACUGCUUUCAUGGUAACAUCUGGCUCAUUUCUCUCAAGUUCCCCCAACUCUUUUUUUUUUUUUAGUAUACAAAUCUUUAUUCUAAAGUCAUUUCAUUUCGGCUCAAUUCCUUCUCUCUCUCUUUCUACCUGUUUGUUUGGCCUUUGGAGAUUGAGAAUGAGAAGUAACAGGACUCAUUACCCACAGCUAGUCACAAGAGGAGACAGAGGGAGAGUGAAUGCAAAAGAAAGGUACCAGAGAGGCCACCUUGCUGGCUGUCAAGGUGGAGUAAAGAGGCCACAAGCCAAGGGGUGUAGGCGGCCUGGUCUCUUCUGCAGCUGCUUUUUAAAACUCUAGGACUUUCUUCCACCAACAAAUUCUUUAGGUUUUAUCAGAGUUAGGAGGCAGUUAGCAUCUGCAACAAUAGAAAGAAUAUGUAUUAUUUGGAAUGCUUGUGUGGCUUAUACAGCUCCCAACCAGUUCGGGAGUCUUAACACAUUGUGCUAAAAGAUGCUGAAGGCUGGGUUUCCACUUCCCAAACAAUUUCAUUCUCUAAGAAAACUGCCGAUAAAGAUAAAAAACAUUACAGCCAAAUGGAGUCUUGCCUGAAUCCCAGGCCCUGCCACAUCGACCGCUGGUUCUAUCAGUGGCCAGUGUUCUGGAAACGCUUCCCCGACAUCAAGGAAGCCGGAUCCUCCCCACACAGUGAUGGGUUCUAGGCCAUUUUUGCUGCCUCGGUCUGGGAGCUCACCAUCCUCAGAAGCUCCCAGCACCUGGAGAUGUCUCGCAUCCUGGCUGAGCCUGCUCCCUUUAGCAAACAAGGUCAGGAUUUGUAACUGCUUUUGUGGCAACAUCUGGCUUAUUU
rnacentral:lncRNA from 1 species